GACAGAGGAUGCAAGCGUUAUCCGGAAUCACUGGGCUUAAAGCGCGUGUAGGCGGGGCUGGCACGUCCGUCGCUGAAAUCCCCCGGCUCAACCGGGGAAGGCGGCGCGAUACGCCGCUGGAGGGGGGUAGGGGGCGCUGGAACUCACGGUGGAGCGGUGAAAUGCGUUGAGAUCGUGAGGAACGCCCGCGGCGAAAGCGAGCGCCUGGACCCUUUCUGACGCUGAGACGCGAAAGCCAGGGGAGCGAACGGG
rnacentral:rRNA from 1 species